AUGCUGAAUCUCAGAUGUCUUGGCAUUGUAUUUGAUCUUGAUGAGACUCUCAUUGUAGCAAACACAAUGCGAUCUUUUGAAGAUAGAAUCGAGGCUUUGCAGCGGAAAAUAAGCACUGAGAUGGACCCUCAGCGUAUUUCUGGUAUGCUGUCAGAGGUGAAGCGUUAUCAGGAUGACAAGACGAUUUUGAAGCAAUACGUGGAAAAUGAUCAGUUUAUUGAAAAUGGAAGGG
rnacentral:misc_RNA from 1 species